rnacentral:rRNA from 1 species
AGAGUUUGAUCAUGGCUCAGAACGAACGUUGAUGGCGUGCCUCAUACAUGCAAGUCGAGCGGUAGCAAUACAGCGGCGAACGGGUGAGUAACACGUAAAGAAUCUGCCCUGAAGCGGGGGAUAAACUAUCCCAACGGAUAGCUAAUACCGCAUAAUGAUGGAGGAGGCAUCUCCUUUUCUCAAAAGGCUUCGGCCACUUCAGGAUGACUUUGCGGCCCAUUAGCUUGUUGGCGGGGUAACGGCCCACCAAGGCUACGAUGGGUAUCCGGCCUGAGAGGGUGUACGGACACAUUGGGACUGAGAUACGGCCCAGACUCCUACGGGAGGCAGCAGUAGGGAAUUUUGCGCAAUGGGGGAAACCCUGACGCAGCAACGCCAUGUGUGGGAUGAAGCAUUUCGGUGUGUAAACCACUGUCAGCGGGGAAUAAACGGCAGCUUCGGGCUGCUUUGAAUGUACCCGCAAAGGAAGCCCCGGCUAACUUCGUGCCAGCAGCCGCGGUAAUACGAGGGGGGCAAAUGUUGUUCGGAAUCACUGGGCGUAAAGGGAGCGUAGGCGGGUUCUUAAGUUAGGUGUUUAAUCCCGGGGCCCAACCCCGGACCGGCACUUAAAACUGGGAAUCUUGAAUAGUGGAGAGGUCAGUGGAAUUGGGGGUGUAGCGGUGGAAUGCGUAGAGAUCCCCAAGAACACCAGUUGCGAAGGCGGCUGACUGGACACAUAUUGACGCUGAGGCUCGAAAGCAUGGGGAGCAAACAGGAUUAGAUACCCCGGUAGUCC